rnacentral:rRNA from 1 species
CGAAGUAGCAAUACUUAGUGGCAAACGGGUGAGUAACAUGUGGGUAUCUGCCCUUCGGCCUGGAAUAACACGAGGAAACUUGUGCUAAUACCAGAUAAGUCUUUUAAGAGAAAGCUUUAUGCACCGAUGGAUGAGCCCGCACCUGAUUAGUUAGUUGGUGAGGUAAUAGCUCACCAAGGCAAUGAUCAGUAGCUGAUUUGAGAGGAUGAUCAGCCACAUUGGGACUGAGACACGGCCCAAACUCCUACGGGAGGCAGCAGUGGGGAAUCUUGCACAAUGGGGGAAACCCUGAUGCAGCGAUGCCGCGUGAGUGAAGAAGGCCUUUGGGUUGUAAAGCUCUUUCGUCGGGGAAGAAAAUGACUGUACCCGAAUAAGAAGGUCCGGCUAACUUCGUGCCAGCAGCCGCGGUAAUACGAAGGGACCUAGCGUAGUUCGGAAUUACUGGGCUUAAAGAGCUCGUAGGUGGUUAGAAAAGUUGGUGGUGAAAUCCCAAGGCUUAACCUUGGAACUGCCAUCAAAACUUUUUAACUAGAGUAUGAUAGAGGAAAGUGGAAUUUCUAGUGUAGAGGUGAAAUUCGUAGAUAUUAGAAAGAACACCGAUUGCGAAGGCAGCUUUCUGGAUCAUUACUGACACUGAGGAGCGAAAGCAUGGGUAGCGAAGAGGAUUAGAUACCCUCGUAGUCCAUGCCGUAAACGAUGUGUGCUAGACGUUGGAAAUUUAAUUUUCAGUGUUGCAGCAAAAGCGUUAAGCACACC